rnacentral:rRNA from 1 species
UCACCUACGGGGCGCAGCAGUGGGGAAUAUUGCACAAUGGGGGAAACCCUGAUGCAGCGACGCCGCGUGAGCGAUGAAGUAUUUCGGUAUGUAAAGCUCUAUCAGCAGGGGAGAAAAUGACGGUACCUGACUAAGAAGCCCCGGCUAACUACGUGCCAGCAGCCGCGGUAAUACGUAGGGGGCAAGCGUUAUCGGGACUUACUGGGUGUAAAGGGAGCGUAGACGGUUCUGCAAGCCAGAUGUGAAAGCCCGGGGCUCAACCCCGGGACUGCAUUUGAAACUGUUUUUCUUGAGUGCUGGAGAGG